AUUGAACGCUGGCGGCAGGCCUAACACAUGCAAGUCGAACGGUAACAGGAAACAGCUUGCUGUUUCGCUGACGAGUGGCGGACGGGUGAGUAAUGUCUGGGAAACUGCCUGAUGGAGGGGGAUAACUACUGGAAACGGUAGCUAAUACCGCAUAACGUCGCAAGACCAAAGAGGGGGACCUUCGGGCCUCUUGCCAUCGGAUGUGCCCAGAUGGGAUUAGCUAGUAGGUGGGGUAUCGGCUCACCUAGGCGACGAUCCCUAGCUGGUCUGAGAGGAUGACCAGCCACACUGGAACUGAGACACGGUCCAGACUCCUACGGGAGGCAGCAGUGGGGAAUAUUGCACAAUGGGCGCAAGCCUGAUGCAGCCAUGCCGCGUGUAUGAAGAAGGCCUUCGGGUUGUAAAGUACUUUCAGCGGGGAUGAAGGGAGUAAAGUUAAUACCUUUGCUCAUUGACGUUACCCGCAGAAGAAGCACCGGCUAACUCCGUG
rnacentral:rRNA from 1 species